rnacentral:rRNA from 2 species
UUGACCUCGAAUCAGGUAGGGAUACCCGCUGAACUUAAGCAUAUCAAUAAGCGGAGGAAAAGAAACCAACCGGGAUUACCUCAGUAACGGCGAGUGAAGCGGUAACAGCUCAAAUUUGAAAUCUGGCUCCUGCGGAGUCCGAGUUGUAAUUUGUAGAAGAUGCUUUGGGAGGUAGGCUCGGCCUAAGUUCCUUGGAACAGGACAUCAGAGAGGGUGAGAAUCCCGUAUGUGGCCGUGGCCUACGCCCGUGUAAAGCUCUUUCGACGAGUCGAGUUGUUUGGGAAUGCAGCUCAAAAUGGGUGGUAAAUUUCAUCUAAAGCUAAAUAUUGGCCAGAGACCGAUAGCGCACAAGUAGAGUGAUCGAAAGAUGAAAAGCACUUUGGAAAGAGAGUUAAACAGUACGUGAAAUUGUUGAAAGGGAAGCGCUUGCACCCAGACUUGGGCGUCGUCGAUCAUCCGAGGUUCUCCUCGGUGCACUCGGCGAGGCACAGGCCAGCAUCGGUUUGGAUGGUUGGAGAAAGGCUCUAGGAACGUAGCUCUCUUCGGGGAGUGUUAUAGCCUAGGGCGUAAUGCAGCCCAUCUGGACCGAGGACCGCGCCUUCGGGCUAGGAUGCUGGCGUAAUGGUUGCAAGCGACCCGUCUUGAAACACGGACCAAGGAGUCUAACAUCUAUGCGAGUGUUUGGGCGUUAAACCCAUACGCGGAAUGAAAGUGAACGCAGGUGA